CAGCGCUGUCUGGACGGCACAGUGACGCUGGACACGGGCUGUGUGACACUGGUGCCUCACAUAUAAACAAAACACUUCUUGCAUGGCUCUGUGGACCUUUAACAACUAACGUAAACAGUCUCAAUGUGGUUAGAGAGCUGAUAAAAGUACCUAAGGUUGAAAGAGGAUGACUCCAUUGAUGAAAAGUUAAGAGUUGAGUCCGCUGAGAGUGACCUGAAGUGAUAAUUGCAUGCUGCAUGUCUGAUAACCACCCAUCACCCACCUGCACUUCCUCUCAGUUCUGAUGCAUGGCCCCCUCUUUAGAUAUGAAUACGUCUCGCCGUUCCUUGCAUGUUGUGCUGUGAGAGUGGCAUCAUGAGGGAAGACAGGGAUAAUCCUCUGACACUGUCAUCCAAGAAACCAUGCCUGGGCCAGGCGGACUAUGGACGAGAGCUGGAGAAGCUGCGUGCUGAUUGGGAUGCAGAGAAGAAGCUAACGCAGCGGGCCCGUGGACACCUCUCUGUGGAGCUGAGGCACCUGCGGCAAGAAGCAGAGAGGGAACAGCAGAGGGCUGUGAGGGAGCUGGCAGCCAGACGAAGGUGCCAAAAGGACGGGCACUCUAACAGAAACCAGCGUCUGCUGGCUAAGGAGGUGAACAUUAACGACAGUGGACGUCACACUGAAGUCGAGUCCACAGAAAAAGAGGCUUUUUGUUUGUGUGGUGGAGAAACUUACACUAAGCUUGAGCAGUUGCUGCUGACGCUAUAUGAGAAGAUAAAUGGUGAGCAGGCAGUCUAUAAAUUGCAUCACAGGCAGGAAUUGGAGCUAGAAAAGGCCAUCUUCCUCUGCCACCUGCUAGAGGCCCAUGGAAGACUGUUGCAGGGAAGGCAAAGAGCAGGAAAGCCCAGCUACAUUUCUAACAGUCUCUCAAGAAAGCCAACUCUGGAAGACGGUAGUAACUCCUGUCAGACAAAGCCUCUUCUAACCUGCUCCAGGGCCUUGCCACAGAGAUCCCAGACUGCUUCCCACUCACCUAAAAAGAAAACCAAACAAGAUCUGAGAGAGCAGCCUUCAGGGAGGGCCGUCUGUGCAGCUGACCCCUGCACCUCCGCUGCAGUUGUGGACACCUGUCAGAGUGGCUCGCUGACAAUUUGUCACCCUCACAACGCUCCCCAUGCAGGCUGGGACGACCAGCCCCCCUACUGCGCCGAGUCCUCUGGGUCAGACAAGUCAUCGCCCUCCAAAUGCAUGGACAGAAACAUGGAGAGAGUGAUGUAUGACCUGUGCACUCGGCCUGAGCAGCCAGAGCCUGCACCUGCACACACAGGGAUGGAGAGCCGCGAGGUGGCCGAAGCUCUUGGGCAACAACAGCAGGAGUUGAGGGAGUCGGAAGAGCAGGAUGAUAAGCAUCGUGGGCUCUUGGACAAGGCAGACCCAACUACGGCUAAUAUCACUUCAACGUCGUUGUUAGGGAAAAGGCACCACUCACUUUAUGCAAAUCUCAAUGGUUUUGAAGUGGAAGGCUUACGCACGAAUGGUACCGACUAUGGCUUCCUGGUGCGUCAGAACUCUGAGCUCUUGCGAGCCCUCGAUGAGCUGGAGAAGACUUGUACCACACUGAGGGAGGAGAAUGGCCUGCUGGUGAGACUAAAAAUAACAGAGUUUGUAGUCUUGACUGAAGGCUUCCUAGAAAGUAGGCCAGGUGCACAGAAACAGCCAA
rnacentral:lncRNA from 1 species